rnacentral:rRNA from 1 species
UGGGGAAUUUUGGACAAUGGGCGAAAGCCUGAUCCAGCAAUGCCGCGUGUGUGAAGAAGGCCUUCGGGUUGUAAAGCACUUUUGUCCGGAAAGAAAUCCUUGGCUCUAAUACAGUCGGGGGAUGACGGUACCGGAAGAAUAAGCACCGGCUAACUACGUGCCAGCAGCCGCGGUAAUACGUAGGGUGCAAGCGUUAAUCGGAAUUACUGGGCGUAAAGCGUGCGCAGGCGGUUUGCUAAGACCGGUGUGAAAUCCCCGGGCUCAACCUGGGAACUGCAUUGGUGACUGGCAGGCUAGAGUAUGGCAGAGGGGGGUAGAAUUCCACGUGUAGCAGUGAAAUGCGUAGAGAUGUGGAGGAAUACCGAUGGCGAAGGCAGCCCCCUGGGCCAAUACUGACGCUCAUGCACGAAAGCGUGGGGAGCAAACAGGAUUAGAUACCCUGGUAGUCCACGCCUUAAACGAUGUCAACUAGUUGUUGGGGAUUCAUUUCCUUAGUAACGUAGCUAACGCGUGAAGUUGACCGCCUGGGGAGUACGGUCGCAAGAUUAAAACUUAAAGGAAUUGACGGGGUCAUAGCUGUUUCCU